GAUGAACGCUGGCGGCGUGCCUAAUACAUGCAAGUUGUGCGGUAACAGAGAGAGCUUGCUCUCUGCUGACGAGCGGCGGACGGCAGAGUAACGCGUAGGAACAUACCCCAAACUGAGGGAUAACUGCUCGAAAGAGUAGCUAAUACCGCAUGUGGUCUUCGGAUUAAAGCUUCGGCGGUUUGGGAGUGGCCUGCGUCCGAUUAGCUAGUUGGUGAGGUAAUUGCUCACCAAGGCGACGAUCGGUAGCUGGUCUGAGAGGAUGAUCAGCCUGACUGGAACUGAGAACGGUCCAGACUCCUACGGGAGGCAGCAGUAGGGAAUUUUCCACAAUGGGCGAAAGCCUGAUGGAGCAACGCCGCGUGCAGGAUGAACGCCUUCGGGUUGUAAACUGCUUUUCUGUGUGAAGAAUAUGACGGUAACACAGGAAUAAGGGUCGGCUAACUACGUG
rnacentral:rRNA from 1 species